AAUGGAUUGGCAGAUUAGUGUAUUAAAUUUAGAAUUUAAUUAAGUAAGUUUUAUUUACAUUCAUUA
rnacentral:tRNA from 1 species